CCGCAUGGUUCAAAAGUGAAAGACGGUCUUGCUGUCACUUAUAGAUGGAUCCGCGCUGUAUUAGCUAGUUGGUAAGGUAACGGCUUACCAAGGCAACGAUACAUAGCCGACCUGAGAGGGUGAUCGGCCACACUGGAACUGAGACACGGUCCAGACUCCUACGGGAGGCAGCAGUAGGGAAUCUUCCGCAAUGGGCGAAAGCCUGACGGAGCAACGCCGCGUGAGUGAUGAAGGUCUUCGGAUCGUAAAACUCUGUUAUUAGGGAAGAACAUAUGUGUAAGUAACUGUGCACAUCUUGACGGUACCUGAUCAGAAAGCCACGGCUAACUACGUGCCAGCAGCCGCGGUAAUACGUAGGUGGCAAGCGUUAUCCGGAAUUAUUGGGCGUAAAGCGCGCGUAGGCGGUUUUUUAAGUCUGAUGUGAAAGCCCACGGCUCAACCGUGGAGGGUCAUUGGAAACUGGAAAACUUGAGUGCAGAAGAGGAAAGUGGAAUUCCAUGUGUAGCGGUGAAAUGCGCAGAGAUAUGGAGGAACACCAGUGGCGAAGGCGACUUUCUGGUCUGUAACUGACGCUGAUGUGCGAAAGCGUGGGGAUCAAACAGGAUUAGAUACCCUGGUAGUCCACGCCGUAAACGAUGAGUGCUAAGUGUUAGGGGGUUUCCGCCCCUUAGUGCUGCAGCUAACGCAUUAAGCACUCCGCCUGGGGAGUACGACCGCAAGG
rnacentral:rRNA from 1 species